rnacentral:rRNA from 1 species
ACGCACGCUGGCGGCGUGCUUAACACCUGCAAGUCGAACGGAAAGGCCUGCUUUCCCUUGUGGAUUGCGGGUACUCGAGUGGCGAACGGGUGAGUAACACGUGAGUGAUCUGCCCCCAACUUGGGUAUAAGCCUGGGAAACUGGGUCUAAUUCCCGAUAGGACUGCAGGGUGGUGCCUGUGGUGGAAAACGAUUUUCUAGUGGUUGGGGAUGAGCUCGCGGCCUAUCAGCUUGUUGGUGGGGUAAUGGCCUACCAAGGCGGCGACGGGUAGCCGGCCUGAGAGGGUGGACGGCCACAUUGGGACUGAGAUACGGCCCAGACUCCUACGGGAGGCAGCAGUGGGGAAUAUUGCACAAUGGGCGGAAGCCUGAUGCAGCGACGCCGCGUGGGGGAUGACGGCCUUCGGGUUGUAAACUCCUUUCGACCGCGAGGAAGCCACCUGGUUGGAAGGGUGGUGACGGUAGUGGUAGAAGAAGCACCGGCUAACUACGUG